rnacentral:rRNA from 1 species
UAGGGAAUCUUCCGCAAUGGGCGAAAGCUUGACGGAGCAACGCCGCGUGAGUGAUGAAGGUCUUUGGAUCGUAAAACUCUGUUAUUAGGGAAGAACAAAUGUGUAAGUAACUAUGCACGUCUUGACGGUACCUAAUCAGAAAGCCACGGCUAACUACGUGCCAGCAGCCGCGGUAAUACGUAGGUGGCAAGCGUUAUCCGGAAUUAUUGGGCGUAAAGCGCGCGUAGGCGGUUUUUUAAGUCUGAUGUGAAAGCCCACGGCUCAACCGUGGAGGGUAAUUGGAAACUGGAAAACUUGAGUGCAGAAGAGGAAAGUGGAAUUCCAUGUGGAGCGGUGAAAUGCGCAGAGAUAUGGGGGAACACCAGUGGAGAAGGCGACUUUCUGGUCUGUAACUGACGCUGAUGUGCGAAAGCGUGGGGAUCAAACAGG